AACAAAGGUGAAUUUUUAAAACAUUUGCCAUUUUAACUUAUGAAGUCUUACCUCUUUACAUCAUAGGAUUUUAAAUGGAUCUUUUAAUAAGUAACAAAAUAUUGUGCAAGAUACUUUCCACCUUUUUCAUUGGUUUGUUGGUGAUGCUUGGCACAGUUGAAACUGCUUGCAGUAAAUUGCCUCAACAAAUAAUAGUAAAGGAAAAUCAAAAACCUGG